UGGGUCUAAAUUAAAACAGGAUAUUUGAUGAGAUGACAUUAUUUUAGAAUGCAGUGACGGGAAUGUUAUCCAGGAACUGAUACUAACAUGGAAAUAUAGAAACUGUCCAGCAAGUGUUUUCAGAAGGAAACUUCCAACAGAGACAAACUUCCUUAUGGCCUACAGUUAUUUUCGUGGUGUUACUCAAAUGAACAAUAAUCUGAGAGGGAAAAAUACGAAACCAUAUAAGGCCCAGUUGCUUUGCAGGACUGAUUUUCUUUCCUCUCCUGAAGCUGUCAGGAUGAAUUACCCGAUGAAGGUCACACUAUUUAUCACUUUGUUAUCAGAGAUCACUGGCGAAUCUAAACAGUUGUAAUUUGUGAUGUAGAUAGUGUUGGGUAGACUACUUCUGAAAUGUAAUCAGUAGGUCCUCGUGGUGGCGUGGUUACUCACCUCAAUCCAGGUGGCAGAGGUCAAGUCUCAGUUGCCUCCACUUCUGAGACAGUCAAUGCGUGCAUUUUAUUACGUGGCUCGCUGUGCAUGACACGCGGAGACUCACAGCACUGGAGGCUCAUGCUACUCGAGAUCCACGCGGAGCUUACCACGCGAGACAGAGAGAAACAUUAAUCAUGACCACGAGGAGGUUACCCCAUGUGACUCUACCCUCUCUAGCAACCGGGCCAAUUUGUUUGCUUAGGAGACCUGGCUGGAGUAACUCAGCACGCCAUGGAUUCGAACUCACGACUCCAGGGGUGGUAGUCAGAAAAUCUAAUCUUUAAUCAUAAAUGUACUAUGUAAUCAACACUCCUUUCAUCAAACAUUAGCUACUGCAACUAAGAGAUUGCCGCUGGUUGAAAGUGGACAUCCUGGCUCCAAGGGUAUCUUUCAUCAUCCCAGCAUUUGCCCAGAGUGAUCUGCCAAUGCCAAACCAGUGUACUAAGAGAGAACUCACAACAAAUUCCAGAACGCUUACUUGAGCAAAUGUAAUUUGUGGUAGAGGGAAGCAGAUCUAUAAAAGCACAUGGAUCUAGGGAACAAAACCUUCCCAGAGGAAGUCACAUAGAAAUAUACAGUUGUUGCCGUGUUAUUGGGCCACAAUAGAAGCCACAUGAUUGGCUGAAAAAAACACACCCACACUUUCAUACCUCAGCCCUCAUCCUGCAGGAUCAUAUUUCAUCUCUCAUAGACUCAUCUCUCAAGUUUAGUUUAG